CCGAGUAAAUACAUCAGCACACAACUGCUGACCAGCCAAUGAGCGGUGAGGCAACCCAUCCUCUUCACCAAUCAGAAGACACAAUUCUACCUCAUCAUUACGCACACACGUCGACGCAGAGAGUUCGGUCGGAGCUGCAGGUGUGGAGAGUCAGCAGAGUUUUACUCACCGUGUGGAUUUUCGUUCCUUCUAAUGCUGUUAGCGGUGUGCGUCCAUGAGACUAAACCACACCAUCACUUCACCACACGGCAUAUAGCAUUUUACAGCCUGUUAAAUUCCCUCACCCACAUUAUGGAUGUGUACCUCGGCUUCGUUUUAAAUAAAUGAGUGAACGACAUAUACCUGAGUGGCAGUGGAUUUUGUGGAUAAGCCAUCUGUUCUUAUCGGACAACCCUGUUGAGAUUGGGGAUUCAUAGAGUCAGCACCUUGUCAUCUUCAUUAUUCAUAGUCAGGAGGUCAAGUCCAUCCCUCUUAA